rnacentral:rRNA from 1 species
CUACGGGGUGCUCCAGUAAGGAAUAUUGCGCAAUGGAGGCGACUCUGACGCAGCCAUGCCGCGUGCAGGAAGAAGGCCUUAUGGGUCGUAAACUGCUUUUAUUUAGGAAUAAACCCCCGAACGUGUUCGGGGCUGAAGGUACUAAACGAAUAAGCACCGGCUAACUCCGGCCAGCAGCCGCGGUAAUACGGAGGGUGCAAGCGUUAUCCGGAUUUAUUGGGUUUAAAGGGUGCGCAGGCGGGCUAUUAAGUCAGUGGUGAAAUCCCGGGGCUCAACUCCGGAACUGCCAUUGAUACUGAUAGUCUUGAGUUUGGUUGAAGUGGGCGGAAUGUAGCAUGUAGCGGUGAAAUGCAUAGAUAUGCUACAGAACACCAAUCGCGAAGGCAGCUCACUAAGCCAAAACUGACGCUCAUGCACGAAAGCGUGGGGAUCAAACAGGAUUAGAUACCCCGGUAGUC